GACGAACGCUGGCGGCGUGCUUAACACAUGCAAGUCGAACGGAAAGGCCCUGCUUUUGUGGGGUGCUCGAGUGGCGAACGGGUGAGUAACACGUGAGUAACCUGCCCUUGACUUUGGGAUAACUUCAGGAAACUGGGGCUAAUACCGGAUAGGAGCUCCUGCUGCAUGGUGGGGGUUGGAAAGUUUCGGCGGUUGGGGAUGGACUCGCGGCUUAUCAGCUUGUUGGUGGGGUAGUGGCUUACCAAGGCUUUGACGGGUAGCCGGCCUGAGAGGGUGACCGGACAAAUUGGGACUGAGAUACGGCCAAGACUCCUACGGGAGGCAGCAGUGGGGAAUAUUGAACAAUGGGCGGAAGCCUGAUGCAGCAACGCCGAGUGCGGGAUGACGGCCUUAGGGUUGUAAACCGCUUUCGCCUGUGACGAAGCGUGAGUGACGGUAAUGGGUAAAGAAGCACCGGCUAACUACGUG
rnacentral:rRNA from 1 species